rnacentral:RNase_P_RNA from 1 species
CAGGAUUGCCGGGUAACCGCUCUCGCCUCCACGGUUUUCCGUGCGGUGGGGGAGGAAAGUCCGAACACCUGCGGACACCGCGCCCCGGGAAAGCCGGGGAGUUCUGCUUGCAGGACAUGGAAAGUGCCACAGAAAACAAACCGCUCCGGAUUUUCGGAGUAAGGGUGAAAAGGUGAGGUAAGAGCUCACCGCCCGUUCUGGUAACAGGACGGGGCACGGUAAACCCCGCGGGGUGCAAGGCCAAGUAAGGCAGUGUGUCGUCCGCCACGAUACUGUCGGGUAGGCCGCUUGAUCUCAUCAGCAAUGGUGAGACCAGACAAAUGGUUACCGGCCGGUUUCGCUUCGGCGGGACUGGCUACAGAAUUCGGCUUACAGGCAAUCCUGCUCC